rnacentral:misc_RNA from 1 species
GUGGAACAAAGCUUAAACAAGAUGAAAAACGAAGAAGAACCCACAUGCUUGAUUGAUUUCUGGAUGCAGGAAAAUUUAAGAGAGAUUAACGAAGCUAAGAUCAAUGGAUUACAAAAGCCAUUUCAGUACAGUAACAAGGAACUUGGAGGUUACCUGUUCGACUUCCUCUUUGCUGCUCAAGAUGCUUCUACUUCUGCUCUGUUAUGGGCAAUCGUGCUUCUAGAUUCUCACCCACAAGUUCUGGAGAAAGUUCGGUCGGAUGUAGCGAGAUUCUGGUCGCCAGAAUCUGAGGAGCCGCUGACGGCGGAAAUGCUCAGGGAAAUGAAGUACCUGGAAGCGGUGGCGCGUGAGAUAAUCAGAAUCAGAGCUCCG